rnacentral:tRNA from 1 species
AGUAGGAUGUCUGAGUAAUAGGUUGUAGAUUGUAAGUCUAUAAAGGGGUUUAAUUCCCUUCUACUA